GUCCAGUAGCUAGGCAACUGCAAACUGACGCCGACGUGGGGCAUGAUGGGAGAAUACUAUGGUUUACGCUGGCGCGGAACUUAAUAGACACCAAAGGGCUAAGACACUCCGUUUUGAGGUUGGAAGAUGGUUCGGUGGUCAAGAGCACGGCUGCUCUUCUGGAGGACACCGGUUUGAUUUCUAGCACUCACAACUGCUCACAACCGGUUGUAACUUCAGUUCCAUGGGAUCCUAACCCUCUUUUGAUCCUUGUGGGCUUUGCAUGCCUGUGGUGAAAAAGACAUGUGUUGUGUGUGUGUGCAGGGAAAUAAAUAAAUACAAUUAUAUAUUCUGGUAUAUAUA